UGAGUUUUUUAAUUAGUUUAUCGCUAAUACUCAAUUAAUUUGACGAUCACGAAGUGACCGUUAGGUUAAGUUAUGAAGGGCGCAUGGUGGAUGCCUUGGUACUAGGAGCCGAUGAAGGACGGGACUAACACCGAUAUGCUUCGGGGAGCUGUACGUAAGCUUUGAUCCGGAGAUUUCCGAAUGGGGAAACCCAAUCAUCUUUACCGAUGAUUACAACUUGAUGAAUACAUAGUCAAGUUGAGGCAGACGUGGGGAACUGAAACAUCUAAGUACCCACAGGAAGAGAAAGAAAAAUCGAUUCCCUAAGUAGCGGCGAGCGAACGGGGAACAGCCCAAACCAGGAAGCUUGCUUUCUGGGGUUGUAGGACUGAACAUUUGAGUUACCAAAGUUGAUGAUAACCGAAGAGUCUGGGAAGGCUCGGCAUAGAGGGUGAUACCCCCGUAGGUGAAAUCGUCAACCCUCAGUUCAGGAUCCUGAGUACGGCCACACACGUGAAACGUGGUCGGAAUCCGGGAGGACCAUCUCCCAAGGCUAAAUACUCCCUAGUGACCGAUAGUGAACCAGUACCGUGAGGGAAAGGUGAAAAGCACCGCGGAAGCGGAGUGAAAUAGUUCCUGAAACCAUGUGCCUACAAUUAGUUAGAGCCCGUUAAUGGGUGAUAGCGUGCCUUUUGUAGAAUGAACCGGCGAGUUACGUUAAUUUGCAAGGUUAAGGUGGAAAGACCGGAGCCGUAGCGAAAGCGAGUCUGAAACGGGCGUUUCAGUAAAUUGAUGUAGACCCGAAACCAGGUGACCUACCCAUGUCCAGGUUGAAGGUGCGGUAAAACGCACUGGAGGACCGAACCCGUGUAUGUUGAAAAAUGCUGGGAUGAGGUGUGGGUAGCGGUGAAAUUCCAAACGAACUUGGAGAUAGCUGGUUCUCUCCGAAAUAGCUUUAGGGUUAGCCUCGGAGUUAAGAAUCGUGGAGGUAGAGCCACUGUUUGGACUAGGGGCCCGUCAUGGGUUACUGAAUUCAGAUAAACUCCGAAUGCCACAGAUUUAUAUCCGGGAGUCAGACGAUGAGUGAUAAGAUCCACCGUCGAAAGGGGAACAGCCCAGACCACCAAUUAAGGUCCCUAAAUACAUGCUGAGUGGAAAAGGAUGUGGAGUUGCAUAGACAGCUAGGAUGUUGGCUCAGAAGCAGCCACCAUUUAAAGAGUGCGUAAUAGCUCACUAGCCGAGUGAUUCUGCGCCGAAAAUUUACCGGGGCUAAGCAUGUUACCGAAAUUGUGGAUUCGACCGUAAGGUCGAGUGAUAGGAGAGCGUUCUAAGGGCAACGAAGCAAGAUCGCAAGGACUUGUGGAGCGCUUAGAAGUGAGAAUGCCGGUAUGAGUAGCGAAAGAUCAGUGAGAAUCUGAUCCACCGAAUGACUAAGGUUUCCUGGGGAAGGCUCGUCCUCCCAGGGUUAGUCGGGACCUAAGCCGAGGCCGCAAGGCGUAGGCGAUGGAUAACAGGUUGAUAUUCCUGUACUAGUUAAUCAUGUUUGAACGAUGGAGGGACGCAGGAGGCUAUGGUGUGCACACGAUUGGAAAUGUGUGUUUAAGCGUCAAGUCUGGUGAUGAGUCAAAUGCUUAUCGCUAAGGACAAGGCGUGACGAGGACCGAAUUUUAGUAGGGAAGCGCCAGAUGUCACACUGCCGAGAAAAGCUUCUAGUUAGUGAUUAAUUACCCGUACCGCAAACCGACACAGGUAGUCGAGGAGAGUAUCCUAAGGUGAGCGAGUGAACUCUCGUUAAGGAACUCGGCAAAAUGACCCCGUAACUUCGGGAGAAGGGGUGCUGCACGCAAGUGCAGCCGCAGUGAAAAGGCCCAGGCGACUGUUUAUCAAAAACACAGGUUUCUGCAAAAUCGAAAGAUGACGUAUAGGGGCUGACGCCUGCCCGGUGCUGGAAGGUUAAGUGGAUGAGUUAGCUUCGGCGAAGCCCAGAAAUGAAGCCCCAGUAAACGGCGGCCGUAACUAUAACGGUCCUAAGGUAGCGAAAUUCCUUGUCGGGUAAGUUCCGACCCGCACGAAAGGCGUAACGAUCUGGGCACUGUCUCAACGAGAGACUCGGUGAAAUUAUAUUACCUGUGAAGAUGCAGGUUACCCGCGACAGGACGGAAAGACCCCAUGGAGCUUUACUGUAGCUUGAUAUUGGGUGUUGACACAGCUUGUACAGGAUAGGUCGGAGCCGUAGAACUCGGAACGCUAGUUUCGAGUGAGGCGCUGGUGGGAUACGACCCUCGCUGUGUGAACACUCUAACCCGCACCACUUAUCGUGGUGGGAGACAGUGUCAGGUAGGCAGUUUGACUGGGGCGGUCGCCCCCUAAAAAGUAACGGAGGCGCCCAAAGGUUCUCUCAGAAUGGUUGGAAAUCAUUCGUCGAGUGUAAAGGCAGAAGAGAGCUUGACUGCGAGACAGACAGGUCGAGCAGGGACGAAAGUCGGGCUUAGUGAUCCGGUGGUACCGUAUGGAAGGGCCAUCGCUCAACGGAUAAAAGCUACCCUGGGGAUAACAGGCUUAUCUCCCCCAAGAGUCCACAUCGGCGGGGAGGUUUGGCACCUCGAUGUCGGCUCAUCGCAUCCUGGGGCUGUAGUCGGUCCCAAGGGUUGGGCUGUUCGCCCAUUAAAGCGGUACGCGAGCUGGGUUCAGAACGUCGUGAGACAGUUCGGUCCCUAUCCGUCGCGGGCGUAGGAAAUUUGAGAGGAGCUGUCCUUAGUACGAGAGGACCGGGAUGGACAUACCGCUGGUGUACCAGUUGUGCCGCCAGGCGCAUCGCUGGGUAGCUAUGUAUGGAUGAGAUAAACGCUGAAAGCAUCUAAGUGUGAAACUCGCCUCAAGAUGAGAUUUCCCAUUCCUAUAUGGAAGUAAGACCCCUGAGAGAUGAUCAGGUAGAUAGGCUGGAAGUAGCAGCGCCGUGAGGCGUGGAGCGGACCAGUACUAAUCGGUCGAGGACUUAACCAAGUCAACAACGUAGUUGUUUCGAGAAUAAUUGAAUAAUAUCUAGUUUUGAGGGAAGAAGUUCUCUUAUAGUGUGGUGGCGAUAGCCUGAAGGAUACACCUGUUCCCAUGCCGAACACAGAAGU
rnacentral:rRNA from 2 species